AUUAGUAGAGGUCGCGUGUUAAAUUAGUAUAUCAAAUGAUAUCUCAGGAGAUAAGAGAUUUUGAUAGAAAGGUUAAUUCGCCGAAAGCGGAUCUUUCCUGAUGGGAUUCGUCUUGGGCAUAUGAUUAAUAGUUAUAUGACUGUCAUCUAUUAUAGAUGGUGAGCUACGA
rnacentral:ncRNA from 1 species